rnacentral:rRNA from 1 species
CCCAGACUCCUACGGGAGGCAGCAGUGGGGAAUAUUGGGCAAUGGGCGCAAGCCUGACCCAGCAACGCCGCGUGAAGGAAGAAGGCUUUCGGGUUGUAAACUUCUUUUGUCAGGGACGAAGCAAGUGACGGUACCUGACGAAUAAGCCACGGCUAACUACGUGCCAGCAGCCGCGGUAAUACGUAGGUGGCAAGCGUUAUCCGGAUUUAUUGGGUGUAAAGGGCGUGUAGGCGGGAAUGCAAGUCAGAUGUGAAAACUAUGGGCUCAACCCAUAGCCUGCAUUUGAAACUGUAUUUCUUGAGUGCUGGAGAGGCAAUCGGAAUUCCGUGUGUAGCGGUGAAAUGCGUAGAUAUUAGGAGGAACACCAGUUGCGAAGGCGGCUCUCUGGACUGUAACUGACACUGAGGCACGAAAGCGUGGGGAGCAAACAGGAUUAGAUACCCCCGUAAA